GCCGGGUGUGGUGGCGCACGCCUGUAGUCCCAGCUGCUUGGGAGGCUGAGGCAGGAGAAUUGCUUGAACCCAGGAGAUGGAGGUGGUAGUGAGCCAAGAUUGCACCACUACACUCCAGCCUGGGUGACAGAGCGAGACUCUGUCUCAA
ensembl:misc_RNA Metazoa_SRP Metazoan signal recognition particle RNA